UACGGAAGGGGCAAGCGUUGUUCGGAAUCAUUGGGCGUAAAGGGCGCGUAGGUGGCUCUGUAUGUCUACCGUGAAAGCAUACAGCUCAACUGUAUUUUGUCGGUAGAAACUGCAGGACUUGAGGCUGGGAGGGGCUAGUGGAAUUCCCUGUGUAGCGGUGAAAUGCGUAGAGAUGGGGGAGAACACUCGUGGCGAAGGCGGCCAGCUAGACCAGUUCUGACACUGAGGCGCGACAGCGUGGGGAGCAAACAGG
rnacentral:rRNA from 1 species